rnacentral:rRNA from 1 species
GGAAUAUUGGGCAAUGGGCGAAAGCCUGACCCAGCAACGCCGCGUGAAGGAUGAAGGCCCUCGGGUCGUAAACUUCUGUCGAGAGGGAAGAACGCGUGCGGGUAAACAAUCCGUACGUCUGACGGUACCCCCACAGGAAGCACCGGCUAACUCCGUGCCAGCAGCAGCGGUAAUACGGAGGGUGCAAGCGUUGUUCGGAUGUAUUGGGCGUAAAGCGAGUGUAGGCGGUUUGGCAAGUCGGAUGUGAAAGCCCAGGGCUCAACCCUGGAAUUGCAUCUGAUACUGCUUGGCUAGAGUCCCGGAGAGGGUGGCGGAAUUCCCGGUGUAGGGGUGAAAUCCGUAGAUAUCGGGAGGAACACCAGUGGCGAAGGCGGCCACCUGGACGGUGACUGACGCUGAGACUCGAAAGCGUGGGUAGCAAAC